GACGAACGCUGGCGGCGUGCCUAAUACAUGCAAGUCGAGCGGACUUGACAGAGCUUGCUCUGUUCAAGUUAGCGGCGGACGGGUGAGUAACACGUGGGCAACCUGCCCUGCAGAUUGGGAUAACUCCGGGAAACCGGGGCUAAUACCGAAUAAUAUGGAAAACCUCAUGGUUUUCUUUUAAAAGGCGGCUUCGGCUGUCACUGCAGGAUGGGCCCGCGGCGCAUUAGCUAGUUGGUGAGGUAACGGCUCACCAAGGCGACGAUGCGUAGCCGACCUGAGAGGGUGAUCGGCCACACUGGGACUGAGACACGGCCCAGACUCCUACGGGAGGCAGCAGUAGGGAAUCUUCCGCAAUGGACGAAAGUCUGACGGAGCAACGCCGCGUGAGUGAAGAAGGUUUUCGGAUCGUAAAACUCUGUUGUUAGGGAAGAACAAGUAUCGGAGUAACUGUCGGUACCUUGACGGUACCUAACCAGAAAGCCACGGCUAACUACGUGCCAGCAGCCGCCGUAACAC
rnacentral:rRNA from 1 species